rnacentral:lncRNA from 1 species
UGAUAUUGUUAUUUUGACAAUUUAUUGUGUUUUGUAAUGUGUUGGUUUCUUCAUUGUAAUGCUUUUGCUAAUUUUGGUAUUUCAGUUGGUUUUUGAUCGUUGACUUAAUAGUCUACUGUGCUGUAGGACUCCCUGGACUUUGUUGUUUGCUGCUUACCAUUAACCUAGAACGAAUUUGCAGUCAAAUGGCAGUGCAAUAUCUGGGGAUCGCCUCUGUGAUUGUGUCAGCAUCUAAUUUUUAAAUCGUUGACUUAAUAGUCGACUGUGCUGUAGGACUCUCUGGACUUUGUUGUUUGCUGCUUACCAUUAACCUAGAACGAAUUUGCAGUCAAAUGGCAGUGCAAUAUCUGGGGAUCGUCUCUGUGAUUGUGUCAGCAUCUAAUUCUUAAGAGAGUAAUCCCUUAUUUGUAGUUGUUGAGCAUAUGUUGAUUAAGUGAUUAGGAUGUCCUAAAGUCACGCUGAAGCAUCUUCGUGUGAUAAUAUAAGGGAGUUUUUAUUAACAAAACUAGUAUAAAAUUCACCAGUACAAUGUUCUAAAACGUUAACUUUCUUUUUAUAAGAAACGAGCACUUUAUUUUUAGAAAGCUGUUUAAUUUAUAAAAAUGUUCAAAUCACUCAAUGAACAGAGGAGCCAUUUGAUGAUACUUCAGUAGGGUAUCCAGGUAAUGUUAAUAAGGAGGCUGAACGGAUUAUAUGUAAUAGUGAGUUCAUUUGGACAUUAUAUUAUAGGCUAAAUUUUUGAAAAUGCAACAUGUUUAUUUAAUUUGAGCAGGGUAUGCUUUGCUUUGUCUGGUAUUUUCCCUUUCAUGUAUCGUUAGUCGCAUGGGACGCACCCAAUAUCUUCAUAGCAUAAAUUGAGGUUAACAUGCCUCUACGGUUAUUUGAUAUUGUUAUUUUGACAAUUUAUUGUGUUUUUUAAUGUGCUGGCUUCUUCAUUGUAAUGCUUUUGUUAAUUUUAGUAUUUCAAAUGGUUUUUGGUAUUUACCCAACAUAACCCAGCCCAACCCAACCCAACCCAACCUAACCCAACCUACCAACCCAAUAUAAUCUAACUCAACAUAACCCAACCCACCAACCCAACCAACCCAACAUAAUCU